GGGGAACGAAUUGUGGGAUUCUGGGUAGGCCAUCUUAUCCCCAUUUAUAAGUUGUGCAAGUGGCAUUAGGUUAGUGGUUUUCAAACUAAGUCCUUAGACCAGAGGUCUCUCAUGGAAAAAUCAGUCUUGGCAGAGUCCUUCGAUAAUCAUCUCUAAUAUCAUACGUCAGCCUUCCUGUCUCCACAACCUGAGCAGAGGUUGGCAGCAGCUGUCGCAGUGUUCCACCGAAAUGCUGCCACUUUCUGAUGAUCCAGUUGAGUCUUCAGUUUCCUUGGCAACCCAAAAGACUUUACACGGUCACCUCAAUCUUCUUUGGGUGAUGUUCAACUAAAUAAAUAUCUCCUGAAGCUAAUUGUUAAGAAGUGACAAAAAUCUCUGCUGUGCUCACCAUCUAGUUCUUAAGACAGGAUGCAAAUGCCGCUUAAGACAAUUCUUUCCAAGCAGAUGAAUCAAUAAAAUAUGAAGACAAAAGUGCUCCAUCUUCUGGCUGAGGAUGAAUGUUCACCAGCAGAUAUUCCCAAUUCUAAAAGGAAGCACUUCAUCUCAGGGACCAGAUCCUGGAGAGAAUUAUUGAUGAAUCCCUCCAAUACCAUCAAGAAUAAAACAGCCUUCUCCUGGGC